rnacentral:lncRNA from 10 species
GCUCCGGCUCUCCCAUGCUUGCCCCUCGGGGUGCUCCUUCUGCGCUCUCCGCCUGGACUGCAGGAAAAGGCUGCUUAAACAGCCUGCCUUUUCCUGCUGCCUGACUCGCGCCAUCUGCGGCCACCUGUCUCGUUUCUUCCCCCUGGCUGGCGCACCCUUCCUUCCUAAACAUCCCAAACUUUCUCCCACCCAGGCUGUCCAGGCUGCAGUUUCUACGCCCUGCGCUGGGGCCUGUGCAUCACGCCUAAUCCAAAGCUGGUCCUUUUACCUCCCAAAAAGAUCCAAGUUUCUGACCUACAUCAUCUUCCUUCUGUCUGGAGAAAAUCUUUUAACAUUUCUUGAAGGACAGGUCUGAUGGUGAAUUACCUCAGCAAGUAAGUCCCUAUUUUUCUUCUUCUUUUUUUUUUUUUUUUUUUUUUUUUUUGAGACAGAGUCUCGCUCUGUCGCCCAGGCUGGAGUGCAGUGGCGCGACCUCGGCUCACUGCAAGCUCCGCCUCCCGGGUUCACGUCAUUCUCCUGCCUCAGCCUCCCAAGUAGCUGGGACUACAGGCGCCCGCCACCACGCCCGGCUAAUUUUUUGUAUUUUUAGUAGAGACGGGGUUUCACCGUGUCAGCCAGGAUGGUCUCAAUCUCCUGACCUCAAAAUGCGCCUGCCUCGGCCUCCCAAAGUGCUGGGAUUACAGGCGUGAGCCCCCGUGCCCGGCCUCUCCUUCAUUUUUUAAGAAUAAUUUUUCUAGAUAUAGAUUCUUAGUUGGUUAUUUUUUGUCUUUCAAACCUUUAAAUAUCUCACUCCACUCUUUACUUGCUUGGAUGGUUUCUGAUGAGAAAUUCCCUGUGUUUCUUGUCCUAUUUUUCUAUAGGCAAGCCACUGCACUCAUACCCCCAAUUCAGCUUUUUUCAAGAUUUUCACUUUUUCUGUCCUUUUUUUUGUUGGUUUUUGCUUCGGUAUUCUGCAGUUUGAAAAUUAUAUGCCUAGUUUCAUUUUUUGUUUCUUUAAUCCUGUUUGUUUUUGUCUGACCUACACAGCUUUACAGCUUGGUGUCUGUCA